rnacentral:misc_RNA from 1 species
GAAUUUUGGAUAUAUUUUUUCAUGAAAAAAAAUUGUGACCGACCCAAAAGUUUUCGGACUGCGACUCAACCCCAUUGGGAUAAAAAGUAAAAUAUAGGACGAUCAUUAUAAAUAUUAUAAUAUUCUACUCUUUGUAGUGAGAUAUUCGAAAGGAAUGAAAGAUUUGAGAAUUCUGAUUGAUUGUAUCUUAUUCUUUUCUUUUCAUCUUCUUGAAACUUUUUUUUUCUUUUUCUUGACAGUGAAUUUUUUUUUUCUCUGUCUUGCCCGCAUAUAAACCUUACGGUUGAACAUUUAUAAUUUAAAAACUGUAUUCUUGUUAUAACAAGCUUUUUUUUUUAAUUAGUAUUGAAGUCCUUCCUGUUUCGAACUUUUGAUAACAUGAAGUAGUUGUUUUCCGGUUACAAGUGAUUUCAAGACGUGCGUAAUAACUCU